GGCAGGAUGGCCGAGCGGUCUAAGGCGCCAGACUCAAGAUCUGUGCGUGGGUUCGAAUCCCACUCCUGUCA